rnacentral:rRNA from 1 species
AGUGAACGCUGGCGGUAGGCCUAACACAUGCAAGUCGAACGGCAGCACAGUAAGAGCUUGCUCUUACGGGUGGCGAGUGGCGGACGGGUGAGGAAUACAUCGGAAUCUACUUUUUCGUGGGGGAUAACGUAGGGAAACUUACGCUAAUACCGCAUACGACCUACGGGUGAAAGCAGGGGAUCUUCGGACCUUGCGCGAUUGAAUGAGCCGAUGUCGGAUUAGCUAGUUGGCGGGGUAAAGGCCCACCAAGGCGACGAUCCGUAGCUGGUCUGAGAGGAUGAUCAGCCGCACUGGAACUGAGACACGGUCCAGACUCCUACGGGAGGCAGCAGUGGGGAAUAUUGGACAAUGGGCGCAAGCCUGAUCCAGCCAUACCGCGUGGGUGAAGAAGGCCUUCGGGUUGUAAAGCCCUUUUGUUGGGAAAGAAAAGCAGCAGGUUAAUACCCCGCUGUUCUGACGGUACCCAAAGAAUAAGCACCGGCGAACUUCGU